rnacentral:rRNA from 1 species
CUACCAUGGCGUUUACGGGUAACGGAGGAUUAGGGUUCGAUUCCGGAGAGGGAGCCUGAGAAACGGCUACCACAUCCAAGGAAGGCAGCAGGCGCGUAAAUUACCCAAUCCUGACUCAGGGAGGUAGUGACAAGAAAUAACGGACCGAGGCCCUCGGGCUUCGGGAUUGCAAUGAGCCGAAUUUACACCCCUUAGCGAGGAUCGAUUGGAGGGCAAGUCUGGUGCCAGCAGCCGCGGUAAUUCCAGCUCCAAUAGCGUAUAUUAAAGUUGUUGCAGUUAAAAAGCUCGUAGUUGGAUUUCUGGGAGGGUGCCAAUGUCCGCCGACCGUGCGUGCGCAGCGGCGCCCUUCCAUCCUUCUGUUAACGCCUCUCGGCAUUCAUUUGCUGGUGGCGGGCUCAGAUAUUUUACCUUGAGAAAAUUAGAGUGUUUCAGGCAGGCUAGGCCGGAAUACAUUAGCAUGGAAUAAUGGAAUAGGACUACGGUCUCUUUGUUGGUUUGAGGGACUGCAGUAAUGAUUAAUAGGGAUAGUUGGGGGCAUUAGUAUUUAAUUGUCAGAGGUGGAAUUCUCGGAUUUGUUAAAGACUAACUUAUGCGAAAGCAUUUGCCAAGGAUGUUUUCAUUAAUCAA